UGCCAGACUCCUACGGGAGGCAGCAGUAGGGAAUCUUUCACAAUGGGCGAAAGCCUGAUGGAGCAACGCCGCGUGCAGGAUGAAGGCCUUCGGGUUGUAAACUGCUUUUAUAAGCGAGAAAUAUGAUGGUAACUUAUGAAUAAGGAUCGGCUAACUACGUGCCAGCAGCCGCGGUAAUACGGAGGAUGCGAGCGUUAUCCGGAUUUAUUGGGUUUAAAGGGUGCGUAGGCGGAAUGCCAAGUCAGCGGUAAAUUCGGGGGGCUCACCCUCUCUCCGCCGUUGAAACUGGCGUUCUUGAGUGGGCGAGAAGUAUGCGGAAUGCGUGGUGUAGCGGUGAAAUGCAUAGAUAUCACGCAGAACUCCGAUUGCGAAGGCAGCAUACCGGCGCCCAACUGACGCUGAAGCACGAAAGCGUGGGUAUCGAACAGGAUUAGAUACCCUAAUA
rnacentral:rRNA from 1 species